rnacentral:sRNA from 1 species
AAGACUCUGAGGCUGAUAUGCAAUGUCACUUACAACAUUAAUCAGAUACUGCAUUUAAGGUAGGAGGCAAGGUGGAUUCUAUUUUUAACUCUUAUGCACUCCAUCAUGUGCAAGCAACUUGGGUUCUCAAAUUUGUAUAUUCAAUGCUGGUAUCAGUGGUUUGAUUUUCAGCAAAUGUGACAGUGGCCUUUGCAGUGGUCAGCUCCGAGCUUUGAACUCUCAGAGGAGGAAGGGGAAAAAAAUUCAACACACCACCUCCUUGGUUGCAGUCUCAGAAAAACCUUGGAUGAGAAACUUCUUUUUUCAAUCCUGUUUUCCUGUUGAUAAAUUCAGUUCUGUGAUCACAGUUCAUUCAAGCUGUUCUGCGUAUGAUUUUUGUGUGUAUGUGACAAUUGCAUCUAAAACUUGUGAGCAAGAAGACAGAGAAAUCAGUUGGUCUCCAUCGCUUUACAUAAAAAUGGCUGAGUGUCUUGUCAUGCUAGCACUGCAUUAAGUGAUGCAUACAGAUCUUGAUGUGGAAGAAAUGGAGGACUCAGAACCAAGGAUUUCCAAGUGAUUUCUUCCAAAGCACAGGAAUCUCACUGUGUUAAAGCUGG